AUGAUAGAACAACCGAUUAACUUCCUCAGUUGGAACAUAAGGGGUCUCAACUGCCUGGACCGACGAUCUACGGUGAAUGCAACGAUUGCCUCCUCGUCGUGCCAUAUUGUGUGCCUGCAAGAGACUAAGCUCGGCAACGUCGACCAAUUCACAACAUUUUUGGGCGGGCACAGGCUGCGUAGCUUCGGGCAAAGACCUGCUUCGGGCACUAGGGGUGGCAUCUUGAUGCUCUGGGAUGAUCUCCUUGUGGAUGUUUCUUGCAUCAGCUUCACGACGUACUGCCUCUCCGCCAUGGUCCGGGUGCGAGGGACUGACGUGCUUUUCAAAAUCACGACCGUCUAUGGCCCCACGGACUACUCUUGCAAAGAUGCUUUCUUUGCCGAGUUGCUGGCGGAGAAGCCACCGCUAGGGAUGACCUGGCUUGCCACCGAUGAUUUUAACCAAAUCUACCGAGCGCGAGAUAAAAACAAGAGAAAUGUCAACCGAAGCAGGAUAAACCGUUUCAGAGCAACACUCCAGAGCUGUGAGCUCAAAGAAAUCCACCUCCAGAACCGGCGUUUCACUUGGAGCAAUGAGAGGAUGAACCCAACCUUGUGCAAGCUAGACACCUUUUUUUGCAACGCCGAUUGGGACUCAACCUUCAACACCCAUGUUCUCAAUGCACUUUCUUCCUCCCUCUCUGAUCACUGUCCGCUUCUGCUUGCCGAUGACAAGGGGCCAAGAAGACCUCGGGUCUUUAAGUUUGAAAACUUUUGGGCAUCCAUGCCCGGGUUUGAGGAGGUGGUCCAAAAGGCGUGGAACGAGAGGAUUGACCACACCGAGCCAUACCAAGCGCUUUACCUCAAACUCAAAAAGACUGCACUUUGA
rnacentral:rRNA from 1 species